GGUAUGCAAGCAGCAGGCAGUUAAGGAUGCGGAGGCGGAAUCCGAGGUCCUGAGAAAAAGGCAUCGAGAGGUAGAGAAUGAAAGCCAGCGACUUCAUCGAAGAUACAUGGAGAUGCUAAUGAGAGAGAAGGAAUUGGAAGAAGAAGUCGAAAGUUUAAGGCACUCCCUGAUGAGGGUUGAAGCCGAAAGUUCGAAGUCAGAGGAAGCCG
rnacentral:lncRNA from 1 species